CAGCCGCCGCGGUAAUACGUAGGGGGCGAGCGUUGUCCGAAGUUACUGGGCGUAAAGAGCGCGUAGGCUGGUCUUUAAGUGAGUGGUGAAAGGUUCGGGCUCAACCCGGACACUGCCUUUCAUACUGGGGACCUUGAGUGUGGGAGAGGCGAGUGGAAUGGUCGGUGUAGCGGUGAAAUGCGUAGAGAUGUGGAGGAACACCAGUGGCGAAGGCGACUCUCUGGUCUGUAACUGACGCUGAGGAGCGAAAGCGUGGGGAGCGAACAGGAUUAGAUACCCCCGUAGUCCCUGUCUCUUAUAC
rnacentral:rRNA from 1 species